UAUAUGCUUUUUUUUGUCAAGACUCCUCUUUUCUUUCAAAGUGCACUUCAUUCCCACCUACUCUUGGGCUGACCUUUAUUUACCAACAGGCUCAUUGUCCCUUUGUUUAAAAUCAAAUGCCACAGCCAAAGUCAGGGUCUGUGCAAGCACCUAAGAAGCUAGAGAUGCAAAGUCAAAAUUGCAGGGGGCACCAGUGUGUGCGUGCUUUCUUGUCAUGAGUUGGAAAAACUAGUCUUGUUAAUGAGGUUACCCUGUUUACCCAUAUGUAAUGGAAUUAUACAGAUCUGUUUCUUUUUAAUCAAUUGUAGAGAAGAAAAGGUAUCACCCAUUUGUUCCACCACCCUCGAUUCCCUAUCAGUUGUCAAAGAAAUAAAAGUAAUUAGAUUUCCAGUGCAAUCCUGCCCAAUGAGUUUGCAUAGCUUCUCUUAUUUUUCCGGCCAGAUACUUGCUCUGUGUACUGAAUCAUCCAGCCAUGCAGUUUCAAUCCAACGAGUACCUUUAAAAAUGUAAUUGCAUUAACAACAGUAAUAAUAACAACAACAGCAGCCGGUAGCACUUACCAAUUAUUACCACAUACCAGAUGAGGAAAGUAAGUCACUUCCCAAUACCGGACUACUGACCAUUCAUACUUUUACAUCUUCCUUGAUAAAUAAGGAAACUGAGGUGUAGGGAAGUUCAAGAAAACGGGCCUCAGUCACGGGCAGGCAGGGGCGAAGCUGGGCUGUGCUGGCCUCCCUCGUGAUGUACUCGAGCUCUCGUUGCCUUGACUCCUUUCUCUUCUUGCAACCUGACCACAGUUCACAGAGCUGUCUUCCUCUCCCUGGGACUCAGAAGCUACCUGCACACAUCCGGGCACUCAGAGGAGGUUUUGGGGAGCAAGGACACAAGACACUGCUGGAGGGACAUCUCUGACCAGCUCUUCCUGGGCUCAGCAGCAAACUGAGGAAGUGCCCGUUCAAGUGGCAGCUUAACCCCUAGGAGUGCCCCUCUGAGGACAGUCACAGCCCCCCAAAGGCUUUGGACCAGAAUCCAAGAAUCAUUAACACAAUGGCCAUGUAACAAAUCCUGCCUGUGCCCUGAUUACCUGAGUGAGCAGAGGCCAGUUUUCCUUCACAUGGGAAGAAUGUUCUCCUGUAAUUUAAUUCACCUCUCCUCACUGGCCAGACAUCCUUGCAAUUGUUAUUUAAAACAAACAAACAAAC